AGCUUUGCACAGUGGCAGUAUCAUAGCCAAUGAGGUUUAUCCAAGGCACGAUUAUUGCUAAUUGAAAACUUUUCCCUUGCCGGGCGCGGUGGCUCAAGCCUGUAAUCCCAGCACUUUGGGAGGCCGAGGCGGGUGGAUCACAAGGUC
rnacentral:snRNA from 1 species